rnacentral:rRNA from 1 species
CCUACGGGUGGCAGCAGUGGGGAAUAUUGCACAAUGGGGGAAACCCUGAUGCAGCGACGUCGCGUGAGUGAUGAAGUAUUUCGGGAUGUAAAGCUCUAUCAGCAGGGAAGCAAAUGACGGUACCUGACUAAGAAGCCCCGUCUAACUACGUGCCAGCAGCCGCGGUAAUACGGAGGAUGCUAGCGUUAUCCGGAUUUAUCGGGGUUAAAGGGUGCGCAGGCGGAAUGUCAAGUCAGCGGUAAAAUUUCGGGGCUCAACCCCGUCGUGCCGUUGAAACUGGCGUUCUUGAGUGAGCGAGAAGUAUGCGGAAUGCGUGGUGUAGCGGUGAAAUGCAUAGAUAUCACGCAGAACUCCGAUUGCGAAGGCAGCAUACCGGCGCUCAACUGACGCUCAUGCACGAAAGCGUGGGUAUCGAACAGGAUUAGAUACCCCGGUAGUC